rnacentral:rRNA from 1 species
CAGUCGGACGGUAGCACAGAGGAGCUUGCUCCUCGGGUGACGAGUGGCGGACGGGUGAGUAAUGUCUGGGGAUCUGCCCGAUAGAGGGGGAUAACCACUGGAAACGGUGGCUAAUACCGCAUAACGUCGCAAGACCAAAGAGGGGGACCUUCGGGCCUCUCACUAUCGGAUGAACCCAGAUGGGAUUAGCUAGUAGGCGGGGUAACGGCCCACCUAGGCGACGAUCCCUAGCUGGUCUGAGAGGAUGACCAGCCACACUGGAACUGAGACACGGUCCAGACUCCUACGGGAGGCAGCAGUGGGGAAUAUUGCACAAUGGGCGCAAGCCUGAUGCAGCCAUGCCGCGUGUAUGAAGAAGGCCUUCGGGUUGUAAAGUACUUUCAGCGGGGAGGAAGGCGAUGUGGUUAAUAACCUUGUUGAUUGACGUUACCCGCAGAAGAAGCACCGGC